rnacentral:rRNA from 1 species
UAGGGAAUCCUCCACAAUGGGCGCAAGCCUGAUGGAGCAACACCGCGUGAGUGAAGAAGGGUUUCGGCUCGUAAAGCUCUGUUGUUGGAGAAGAACGUGCGUGAGAGUAACUGUUCACGCAGUGACGGUAUCCAACCAGAAAGUCACGGCUAACUACGCGCCAG